GACGAACGCUGGCGGCGUGCUUAACACAUGCAAGUCGAACGGAAAGGCCCUGCUUUUGUGGGGUGCUCGAAUGGCGAACGGGUGAGUAACACGUGAGUAACCUGCCCUUGACUUUGGGAUAACUUCAGGAAACUGGGGCUAAUAACGGAUAGGAGCUCCUGCUGCCUGGUGGGGGUUGGAAAGUUUCGGCGGUUGGGGAUGGACUCGCGGCUUAUCAGCUUGUUGGUGGGGUAGUGGCUUACCAAGGCUUUGACGGGUAGCCGGCCUGAGAGGGUGACCGGCCACAUUGGGACUGAGAUACGGCCCAGACUCCUACGGGAGGCAGCAGUGGGGAAUAUUGCACAAUGGGCGGAAGCCUGAUGCAGCAACGCCGCGUGCGGGAUGACGGCCUUCGGGUUGUAAACCGCUUUCGCCUGUGACGAAGCGUGAGUGACGGUAAUGGGUAAAGAAGCACCGGCUAACUACGUG
rnacentral:rRNA from 1 species